CUUGUCUGGUGCAGACCAGCUGUAGAGGAGUUGGUGGAGGAGACGGGGGAAAGACAGCGGGAUGGAAAGGGAGGAGUGGAAGACACUGUUUGAGCCCACAGCAGCCGGGUGGAAUUUUUCACAUACGCGGCUGGAAUUUCAGGAAUGCAGGGAUAGUCCGAAUCUGACUGGGAGCGAGAGAGAUAAUGGGACGGGGGGGGCAGAAAAGGCAGGAAAGCCCCAAGAAGAAGAAGAGGAAGAGGAAUAGAAUGGGAAAGGGUACCACAGCAAAAGAGUCCGGGUUUUAACACUGCCCGUCAUUGUGAACAUAAAGAUACAGACUCGCUGUUUGUGGAAGGAGAGGCGCGCAAUGGAACAAAUAACUUAUUCAGUUUGAGGUUGUGGCAGCCGUAGUGGACGUAGUGGGGUAGGCCUCUUUAUAAUAGUGAAGGGAUGAAUGAUGGGCUUAUUUUAGCUAAAGAUCCACAUUUUCUGCAACGUGGUUGAUCAGUGUCUCAACAACUUUUGGACGGAAUACCAAAAAUGUGUGGUUCACACAUUCAUUCCCCUGCUCAAGACUAUUUGUUUGUUCUUUGAUGACCUUUUAGCUUUUCAUCAGGUUUAACUUGACCUUUAGUUUGGUUUAUAAUGGAACAACUACUUUCCCCAUCCGCCUCAGGUUAGUGCCAUUCAGAAAAUAUUACCGCGCAAAAACACUAAACUGAGAUGGUGAACUUUGUACCUGCGACACAUCAGCAUGUUGACCGUGUGCAAGUUGAUAAACGCAUUCUGUAGUCUGAAUCUGAAGAAUCAUUGAACAGCAAAUAAAAACUCCUCUAACAUAUUUAUUUGUUUUAAUUCUUCUAGAUAUCUGUUUGAACUGGCACGCAUCCUCUCAGCACAAAAGAGCAUUCAGGUCGAAGUACAGCCUCACAAAGACGUCCUAUUGGCUGGUUUCCUUGUGGCCAAAGUGGCCAACGGAAUGUGUGAGCCUACGAGGGAAGGAGAAGGAGUCGCCAUUCAGGGCCUCUUUAAGUCCGGCUGUCCGUCACUUCCCGGCUUGUCUGGUUCGACGUCUCGCACUUGGCCCCCGAAUGGCUGACGCACAGCAGUUCUUCACUGGCAAGCUUUAUGUUCCCGUACACAUGCUAAAGCUGCCAGCUGAAGAACUGCUCUGGUCAGCCCUGCCCCGGAUGACUCAAGAAGAGGAAGCGGAUGGGGGGGGUUGCUGAGGAAAAGACGGAGGAGGGCGGUGUUCCUCACGCUGAGUCAGAACGUGACCGAUUUGAGCAAGCAAGGGUUGAUAAUCUUGUUUUAAACAAAUGUAAAGUGUAUUUUAUCGAGACUGUUUUUUUUUUUUUGUGGACAAAACGCCACACUAUGAACAACAAAACUCAAACAGCACUGAAAGCUCUCUUGUUCAAAAGUAAAGCACACACACACACACACACACACACACAGCACUCGAUAGAUCUAUACAAAAAUGUGUCCCAUUCAUGCCUUUUUAACUUCAAAGUCUGGUGAUCCCAUUAAGGGGAAGCAACAAAGAUCAGGGUGGUGAAGUGUUCUUAGAUACACAAUCACUUUUGAAAAGGAGGGUUUUUCUCACGUUAACAAGUCAGUAAGGUGACUUUUAGUUAAGGUUCAAUGAACAUAUUUUGAUUGUUGUUGGAUAGAUCUUUUUGAAACUAGCGGGUGAACGUUUUUCUCCAGCUGUAAAUUGCAUCAACGGCUGCUUCAAUGUUUUCCUUCACAAACGACCAGGCUUCUCAGGCUGAGGAAGGUUUCAAGAUAACUCAUUGGAUGUAAAACCGUCUUUUUAAGAGACCAAUAAGCCCCUCUCUUUAUUUAUUUGGCAACAGCAGCGGGGUCAUUGAUUAACUCUCUGAAUGUAAGAUGAAUUGGUUUAAUAAAGAAAUAAUUUUGUUUCAA